CCCUUAGAUGUCCUGGGCCGCACGCGCGCUACACUGAGUGUCUGAGAUACGAGUCUGCCUGGUCCGGCAAGGUCUAGGUAAUCGCUAAAAGACACAUCAUGCUUGGGAUAGAUUAUUGCAAAUAUUAAUCUUGAACGAGGAAUUCCUAGUAAGCGCAAGUCAACAGCUUGCGUUGAUUAUGUCCCUGCCCUUUGUACACACCGCCCGUCGCUACUACUGAUUGGAUGUUUAAGCGAGGUUCUCGAACUGCUAGCGACUUAGCUUCGGUGAGGUCGCAGUGUGGGAAGUGAACCUAGCUUUGGUGUCUAGAGGAAGUAAAAGUCGUAACA
rnacentral:rRNA from 1 species